UUUUUUUUUUGCGAUGUCAACAUUGGUUUGCGACUAAGACAACCUGCUUUAAUUUGGGUCACGAUUGAAACCAGUUGAGAACCACUGCUUUACAGAUUCCAGAGUCGAGCAAGUUCUAACGUCUAAGAAUCUUACGGAUCUUCGAAGGGACCAAUGUCAUAAUCUGGCUAUUCGUGGCACUGAACGGUUUCCAGGAAGGCCGGUUUGGACACAGGGCUGACACUACAGGGAACUGUUCACCCAGAACUGGCCACCAGUGGAGAACUGGCCACCAGUGGAGAACUGGCCACCAGUGGAGAACUGGCCACCAGUGGAGAACUGGCCACCAGUGGAGAACUGGUGAAUGUAAUAGAGAGAGACAUACUGAUCUGUCAGUAUGGAUGUAAUGGAUGUUUGUUUAUAUACCUGUAUACUUGGUCUUUUAUAUCUGUUAUAUAUCUUGCUCAGUCUGCCUCUUUAUGGUUUCUCUCAGUCUGUAUUCUGUAGACAAUUCCAUCCAUUGAGCAGUUUGGAGCCAUUGUUGAAGAGCUGCUCCUCAAACACAGGAAGAGGAUCCUACUUUAGAUGAGCAGUUUGUGCUGAAGAGAGUCGCUGACUGGGCCAUUGACCUGUACGCCAUUGUGGUCUUCCUGUCUAGGGCGCCCCGUUCCCUGAGUCAGGGUCAUCUCUCAGCCCAGCAUAAGAAGUGUGAGACCUGGUGUAAUGGAGGCCGAUGAGAGGAUCAUGCAAGUGUCUGCGCCCCAGCAACUCCAAGCAGAUCUUCAAGAACCUGAGGGCCAUCUCUACAGCUGUGGUGGAGAACGGCGGGGUGGUCUCCCCUCUGGCUCAAUGGGCUUCUAAAUGCCCCCUGUCUGUCCUCCCUCCCUCUUCAUUUAUUUCUCUCCUCUCCUAUUUCUUUCCUCUUUAUCAACUCUGCUCUUACCCGCUCUCUCCUCCUCCCUCUCUUCAACUGUUCCCCGCCUCCCCUCUUUCCUUUUCCCUACCAUUCCGAACUCUACCUCUCUGACCUACCUCUCUAUCUCUCCCACCCCUGCUCUUUGUCUUUUUAGUCAGUUAUAUUAUCCUCCAUAUAGCGCCAACUCCUGAACAUAACACCUGACUCCAUCCUGAGAAAUGUAUACAUCUAUUUAACUGGUCAAUGCAAAGACAGUACUGAAUGUGUGUCUCGAAUUGGAAAUCCAAUGCUGGAACUUGACCGCACUGAAUGGUAUGGGAUUAAGGUUGGAGUUCUCAAAUGCACUAUGACUGUUAAAUCGCUUAUGUACAGCGGCUUUGGAAAGUAUUCAGACCCCUUGACUUUUCCCACAUUUUGUUACAUUACAGCCUUAUUCUAAAAUGGAUUAAAUAAAACAUUUGUCAGAGCAAAAGCCAAGCCACGCGGUCAAAGCAAUUGUCCGUAGAGCACCGAGACAGGAUUGU